UGCAUAAAAAAAAUGUGCAGAUGUACUAAACUGAGCCUCACACUUGUUGAUAAGGAGUAUCUUUCCUACCAAAAAAGUUUGGCAAAUGUAAUUCAUCAAGAAGAUCAGCCGAAUUAUUUUGUGUAUUAUAACGCCAGUUAGAACUCUGAAUUUCCCCUACUUUCACUUUCAUUUUUAGAGGUUGCCGCAGACAGACGCAUUUUGCCGGAAAACGAAUCUGACAUGCCACCUCGAGAUUUUGACCAAGGAAAGACAAGUUGAUGUGCUUUGAUUUGAGGGGUCACUCACUGCUGAACGAAAAUUAGGGACAUCGCUAUGAGAAGAAACGUUAACAUUGUCGCCUAUGGGAAAACAAUUAGUGGACUGUACCCAUAUUGGGAAGCCUAUAAGGUCAUGGUCAUUGGUACAGGAAAACCAUGAGGUUCAUGUAGGUGGUGUUUAAAACUAUUGGCCAGCAAACACACACCCAUUUGAAAACAUCUUGAAACUUCACGGUCACCAGUAAAAAGUGGCAGUUGGCAAAAUGUAGGUUGCCGCAGACAGACGCAUUUUGCCGGAAAACGAAUCUGACAUGCCACCUCGAGAUUUUGACCAAGGAAAGACAAGUUGAUGUGCUUUGAUUUGAGGGGUCACUCACUGCUGAACGAAAAUUAGGGACAUCGCUAUGAGAAGAAACGUUAACAUUGUCGCCUAUGGGAAAACAAUUAGUGGACUGUACCC